ACCAUUAUGAUGAAUUUAAUUACCGCCCCAGUCUGAAACUAACUGUGACUGAUUGGUAUUUAAUACUCUGAU